UACGAAGGGUGCAAGCGUUACUCGGAAUUACUGGGCGUAAAGCGUGCGUAGGUGGUUUGUUAAGUCUGAUGUGAAAGCCCUGGGCUCAACCUGGGAAUUGCAUUGGAUACUGGCAGGCUAGAGUGCGGUAGAGGAUGGCGGAAUUCCCGGUGUAGCAGUGAAAUGCGUAGAGAUCGGGAGGAACAUCUGUGGCGAAGGCGGCCAUCUGGACCAGCACUGACACUGAGGCACGAAAGCUAGGGGAGCAAACGGG
rnacentral:rRNA from 1 species